rnacentral:rRNA from 1 species
UAGGGAAUCUUCCACAAUGGACGCAAGUCUGAUGGAGCAACGCCGCGUGAGUGAAGAAGGUUUUCGGAUCGUAAAGCUCUGUUGUUGGUGAAGAAGGAUAGAGGUAGUAACUGGCCUUUAUUUGACGGUAAUCAACCAGAAAGUCACGGCUAACUACGUGCCAGCAGCCGCGGUAAUACGUAGGUGGCAAGCGUUGUCCGGAUUUAUUGGGCGUAAAGCGAGCGCAGGCGGAAGAAUAAGUCUGAUGUGAAAGCCUCGGCUUAACCGAGGUACUGCAUCGGAAACUGUUUUUCUUGAGUGCAGAAGAGGAGAGUGGAAUUCCAUGUGUAGCGGUGGAAUGCGUAGAUAUAUGGAAGAACACCAGUGGCGAAGGCGACUCUCUGGUCUGCAACUGACGCUGAGGCUCGAAAGCAUGGGUAGCGAACAGG